AUACGGAGGGUGCAAGCGUUAUCCGGAUUCAUUGGGUUUAAAGGGUGCGCAGGCGGAUAUUUAAGUCAGUGGUGAAAUCCCGGGGCUCAACCUCGGAACUGCCAUUGAUACUGAAUAUCUGGAAUACGGUUGAAGUGGGCGGAAUGUAGCAUGUAGCGGUGAAAUGCAUAGAGAUGCUACAGAACACCGAUCGCGAAGGCAGCUCACUAAGCCGAUAUUGACGCUCAGGCACGAAAGCGUGGGGAGCGAACAGGAUUAGAUACCCUAGUAGUCC
rnacentral:rRNA from 1 species